GCGAUAUCCUUGCUCGCUUUCUGUCUGUGCCGAGACAACAGGUGACAAACUCAGAACUGCCACCAGCAGCCUAAGGACUUCCUGUAAGCUCUCAGGGCCUCCAUUCAGGUGUGGGAUGCCAUGAGUUCUGUGUAUCCUGGUGGUGUGUAGUACCAUUCAUGGGAAGAGAACCCAGCCUGUAGGCAAGAGGGGUCCUAUCUCCAGCCACAGGGAUCUCUGUAUGAGAAAGCCCAGCAUGGAUCCCUCCCCGGGUAGAUACAGGGAUGAUCACAUGAGGGCCUGGUUCGAAAGGUGAAUGAACUGAGAUGACUCUGUUGCUGUCCCUGGAGCCCAGCUCGGAUGUGCUGCCGUUAUUUGUGUUCGUCUAUGGUCUUCCAUGUUUUCCUCAAAGGCAGCGGCCACAUGUGUCCCUUUCACUACCUGUGUAGGAGAGGAAAGUUUCCUCCAACUCCCUCCACUAGGGUAGAAAACAAACAAACAAAACAUUGACAGGAGAAAAAGGAAAUAAGCUAUUUGCGUCUUUUAUAUACACACAGGACCCUUCACAAGAAAAACAUAGCAAAAGCAGCAGCUAGGGUCAAAGUCACAUGCAGUAAGCUUGAUGUGAGUGGUAAAUUACCCAGUGUGUCCAGACAAAGGUGCUUAGGAGAAGGCGGACAACUGCAGAUUCUUUUAACAAUGGCUAGAAUACAGGUGUCUCUUGGCCUCCACUCCCCCAUUGUUAUCCAGGAAUCUGGCAUUCCCUUUGGUGAGUUCUUAGGCACAUUUACAAAAGAGUUUAAAGGCCAACUCGGAAGGCAGG